rnacentral:rRNA from 1 species
GAUGAACGCUAGCGGCAGGCUUAACACAUGCAAGUCGAACGGCAGCACAGGUAGCAAUACUGGGUGGCGAGUGGCGCACGGGUGCGUAACACGUGGAUAACCAACCCAUUGGUUUGGGCCAACACCGGGAAACUGGUGCUAAUACCAGAUGUGUCGCAGCUGUCUUCAGGCGGUUGCGAGAAAGGCCCGCAAGGGUCGCCAACGGACGGGUCCGCGUCCCAUCAGCUAGUUGGUGAGGUAAUGGCUCACCAAGGCAAAGACGGGUAGCUGGUCUGAGAGGAUGAUCAGCCACACUGGAACUGAGACACGGUCCAGACUCCUACGGGAGGCAGCAGUGGGGAAUAUUGCGCAAUGGGCGAAAGCCUGACGCAGCCACGCCGCGUGAGCGAUGAAGGUCUUCGGAUCGUAAAGCUCUGUGGGGGGAGAAGAAGAAAGCCGGUGAAGAGCCGGCCCUGACGGUAUCCCCUUAGCAAGCACCGGCUAACUCCG